UUCGGAGACACCGGUGACAGGUGGUGCAUGGUUGUCGUCAGCUCGUGUCGUGAGAUGUUGGGUUAAGUCCCGCAACGAGCGCAACCCUUGGCCUUAGUUGCCAGCAUUCAGUUGGGCACUCUAAGGCGACUGCCGGUGACAAACCGGAGGAAGGUGGGGAUGACGUCAAAUCAUCAUGCCCCUUAUGCCCUGGGCUACACACGUGCUACAAUGGGCGGUACAAAGGGUUGCAAACCCGCGAGGGGGAGCUAAUCCCAAAAAGCCGCUCUCAGUUCGGAUUGCAGGCUGCAACUCGCCUGCAUGAAGCCGGAAUCGCUAGUAAUCGCGGAUCAGCAUGCCGCGGUGAAUACGUUCCCGGGCCUUGUACACACCGCCCGUCACACCACGAGAGUCUGUAACACCCGAAGUCGGUGUAGG
rnacentral:rRNA from 1 species